rnacentral:rRNA from 1 species
GAUGAACGCUGGCGGCGUGCCUAAUACAUGCAAGUCGAGCGAACAGACGAGGAGCUUGCUCCUCUGACGUUAGCGGCGGACGGGUGAGUAACACGUGGAUAACCUACCUAUAAGACUGGGAUAACUUCGGGAAACCGGAGCUAAUACCGGAUAAUAUAUUGAACCGCAUGGUUCAAUAGUGAAAGGCGGUUUUGCUGUCACUUAUAGAUGGAUCCGCGCCGCAUUAGCUAGUUGGUAAGGUAACGGCUUACCAAGGCAACGAUGCGUAGCCGACCUGAGAGGGUGAUCGGCCACACUGGAACUGAGACACGGUCCAGACUCCUACGGGAGGCAGCAGUAGGGAAUCUUCCGCAAUGGGCGAAAGCUUGACGGAGCAACGCCGCGUGAGUGAUGAAGGUCUUCGGAUCGUAAAACUCUGUUAUUAGGGAAGAACAAAUGUGUAAGUAACUAUGCACGUCUUGACGGUACCUAAUCAGAAAGCCACGGCUAACUACGU